GUUCAUUGGAUGAAUCUGUGGAAUUGAAAGGACUAGGGGAAGGAGAAGAUGGACCAGACAAUUGAGAGUUUUUCCCCUUCUGUUUUUUCCCUUUUGUAGAGGGGGCUGGGGACUGUGAGACUACCACAGGAGUUUCUGAUUCGCCAACCUUUGCAGUUACAUCUUUUCUUAUUUCUUGUUCUUCGUCUUCACCACUAUUAGGAGGUCUAUCUGGUACUUCUGUGACACCAUUUUCACCAGCCUGCCGAAUUCCCCCAACAUUAUAAGCUUCCACACAACAAUCUCUGGCC
rnacentral:misc_RNA from 1 species